CACCUCGGUAUCUUGCUAGGCAACAAAGCGGAAACAUUGGUGCUCUUCAGACGCUUUCGGUGAUUAUUAACCACUGUGUUUUAAACACUUUUUUAUCGUCUAGUUAGUUACUACCCCUUUCGUUUUUAAAUAUUCCGUUGUUAGUCAUCUAGCUAGCUGGUUAAGUUAGGGCUAGUAAUUAGACGAGUUGCUAAUGCUAACUAGCUAGCAAGUUAGCAUCCCCGACCAUGAGCUCACUGAGCUACUCCACCCAAGAGGAGGUCCGCUGGACGGAGAAAGACACUCUGGUGAAAGAGGAGGAGGAAGAGAAAUAUGUUACAAUACAAAAACAAGUAGAGGGUGAGGCUGUUACAGUGAAAGAAGAAGAUAAAGACGUUUCAGUUAAAGAAGAGGAAGAGGAUGUUACAGUAAAAGAGGAGGAGGAAGAGAAAGAGGAGGAUGCAGUUUUUGGAGUGAAAGAGGAUGAGGGGGAGGUGACUGUUUCUGUGAAGGAAGAGGAGGAAGCGUUCAGAGUGAAAGAGGAGGAGGAUGUUACUCUGAAGGAGGAGAAAGAGGAGAAUGCCGUUUUUGGAAUGAAGGAGGGGGAGGUGACUGUUCCAGCAAAAGAAGAGGAAGAAGCUUUCAGUGUAACAAAGGAGGAGGAUGUUACUCUGAAGAAAGAGGAGAAUGCCGUUUUUGGAAUGAAGGAGGAGGGGGAGAUUACUGUCUCAUUGGAGGAGGAGGAGGAGGAGGAGAAAGAAGAAGAAGAAGAGACGACAGGAGAUCUGAUUAACGACGGAGAGAGACCAGUCUGUCACUCUGACAGCAGUAAGACUCCUUCAGAGGAACCAGACCCAGAGACUCCCAAACCAGCAAGACCACACCACUGCUCCCAGUGUAAUAAGAGUUUCAAGUUGUCAUGGAACCUAAAAGAGCAUGAGAGGGCACACACAGGAGACAAGCCUUUCCACUGCUCCCAGUGUGGAAAGAGAUUUCCACGAUCACAGAACCUAAAAAUACAUCAGAGGACACACACAGGAGAAAAACCUUUUCUCUGCUCCCAGUGUGGAAAGUGUUUUACCCAGUUAUGGAGCCUGAACAAACAUAAUCGAAUACACACAGGAGAAAAGCCUUACCAUUGUUCCCAUUGUGGAAAGAAAUUUAGGUUGUUAGAUAAGCUGAAGGAGCAUGAGAGGAGACACACAGGAGAGAAACCUUACCAUUGCUCCCUGUGUGAAAAGAGUUUUACCCAAUUAGCUUACCGAAAAGAGCACGAAAGGAAACACACUGAAGAAAAGACUUACCAAUGUUCGCAGUGUGGAAAGAGAUUUUCACGAUCACAGGAACUAAAUUCACAUGAGAGGAUACACACAGGGGAGAAACUUCACCACUGCUCUCAUUGUGAAAAGUGUUUUACGCAGUUAGGGAGCCUGAACAAACAUAAUAGAGUACACACAGGAGAAAAGCCUUACCCCUGUACCCAUUGUGGAAAGAGAUUUUCUAGAUCACAGGACCAAAAAUCACAUGAGAGGACACACACCGGGGAGAAACCUUACCAUUGUUCCCUAUGCGGAAAUGAUUUUACCCAUUUAGGGAGCCUGAACAAACAUACGAAGAGAAUACACUCUGGAGUGAAGCCUUACUCAUGUUCCCAUUGCCUAAUGCAUUUCAGGUUGUUAAAUAACCUUAAGGAGCACGAGAGGACACACACGUCUUACCAUGGUCGCAGUGGAAAAGAUUUGAGCAAUUUAGGGAAACUAUAAGAUCAUGAGAUGAGACACGUGGGAGAUAUCACCCAGUUGUUCCCAGUGUGGAAAGAGUUUUACCUAGUUAGGGAGCCUGAAAAUGCAUGAGAGAAUACACACACACAGGGGAGGAAAAGCUCACAGUUUGGAAAGAGUUUUAGUUAGGGAACCUAAUUGUGGAAAGACAUUUUCACAGAGGACCUGAAAUCACAUGAUAGAAUAGACAGGCUGUGUUCUGAUGAGUCACAGUGUUCUGAUGAGUCACUGUGUUCUGAUGAGUCACAGUGUUCUGACUGAUGUUUGACUGUUGUUUUAUGCCACAUUAAACCAGGCUGUGUUCUGAUGAGUCACAGUGUUCUGAUGAGUCACUGUGUUCUGAUGAGUCACAGUGUUCUGAUGAGUCACUGUGUUCUGAUGAGUCACAGUGUUCUGAUGAGUCACUGUGUUCUGAUGAGUCACAGUGUUCUGACUGAUGUUUGACUGUUGUUUUAUGUCACAUUAAACCAGGCUGUGUUCUGAUGAGUCACUGUGUUCUGAUGAGUCACUGUGUUCUGAUGAGUCACUGUGUUCUGAUGAGUCACAGUGUUCUGACUGAUGUUUGACUGUUGUUUUAUGUCACAUUAAACCAGGCUGUGUUCUGAUGAGUCACUGUGUUCUGAUGAGUCACUGUGUUCUGAUGAGUCACUGUGUUCUGAUGAGUCACAGUGUUCUGACUGAUGUUUGACUGUUGUUUUAUGUCACAUUAAACCAGGCUGUGUUCUGAUGAGUCACUGUGUUCUGAUGAGUCACUGUGUUCUGAUGAGUCACUGUGUUCUGAUGAGAUCCAGUGUUCUGACUGAUGUUUGACUGUUGUUUUAUGUCACAUUAAACCAGGCUGUGUUCUGAUGAGUCACUGUG